GCUAUAAAGGCGCGCACACGUGGGACUGCAGUCUGAUAAGUAAGGAGGUGUAACAGCCCGGCUAGGACCCUUCAUGUGAAGAUAAGACAAAAAGCGUCUUUGUGAGAAGGCCGGAGGAUUUACAGUCGGAAUACUUCAAAGCUCUGCAGAACGGUUAUAAAAGAAUGAUUAUAUGAAUGGAGCUGAGUGCUUUCAAUAAAAAUUUACUUAAACACUUA